rnacentral:lncRNA from 1 species
CCUAUGUAAAAAUAAAUCUAUGCGAGAUUACAUAUGCACCGGUUAUUUAAACGCCUCCUAUUCAAUGUAGAGCCUUUGCAGCCUACGCAGGUGAGACCCAGGAGCAUGAUCCUACCCGGUGAGUGGGGCUUGGCUUGCGGAAAAACGCUCCGGGGAUGGAGGGGUCGAAUCCCGGCUGUCCCCCUGGCGGUCCUCAGCCCACGACGGCGGUGCAGGCUUCUCGCUUCUCUGCGGGAGCUCAACAGAUUCGGGAGUUCCCAGUGGGUUGGUGGGCUCGCAGUUUUUGAGAGGGACUGGGGAGCCCCUCCCCUCCGCCCCGCCCCCCCCCCAUCCAGCCCUCCCUUGUAUGGAAAAUGGGGGCGGAGCGCGCACCACCCGACUUAGACAACUAGGUAGAAGGAUAGUGUGAAGACGAUGGAAACAGAAAAGGGAGGAAGGGCAGACAAACCUGGAUGAGAGGGACGAGAGAGAAUCUCGAUGCGGGAGCUUGCUGCGCCUUGGCAGAGUCCUUCCUGCUCCGGCGGAGGGAGCGGUGGAUGAAGAGGGGGGAGCCGCUUCAAGCGCCAGGCUCUCAGGAUGACCUGGAGCAGGGCCUGAAGGAGCUACCUACAUCUCCAGCAGCCACCUCUUCUGUCUGCUACCAAAGUCCUACAACCCCACAUCGGGAGGCUAUCAAGACAGGAGAGCCCUCUGCCUUCUCUUUUAAACUGAAAACUCACAACGUCACUGAAAGAAGAGUCUUUAGAAAGGACUGUAGGUUUCAAAUAAAGUUGCUGCUGACAGACUUGGUGCAUCAGCCUGAGUCCCUCCUUGCAAAUACUAGAACGCACUCUGGCU